rnacentral:rRNA from 1 species
UACGUAGGGCGCAAGCGUUGUCCGGAAUUAUUGGGCGUAAAGAGCUCGUAGGCGGCUUGUCGCGUCGACUGUGAAAACCCGUGGCUCAACCAUGUGGUCUGCAGUCGAUACGGGCAGGCUAGAAUUCGGUAGGGGAGACUGGAAUUCCUGGUGUAGCGGUGAAAUGCGCAGAUAUCAGGAGGAACACCGGUGGCGAAGGCAGGUCUCUGGGCAAUAACUGACGCUGAGGAGCGAAAGCGUGGGGAGCGAACAGG